rnacentral:tRNA from 1 species
AAAUAAGAAGCAAUUCUGCAUUUAGUUUCGACCUAAAAGUUUGUCAUUAACUGACCUUAUUUU